UACGUAGGGUGCUAGCGUUGUCCGGAAUUAUUGGGCGUAAAGGGCUCGUAGGCGGUUUGUCGCGUCGGGAGUGAAAUCAUCUGGCUUAACUGGGUGCUUGCUUUCGAUACGGGCAGACUAGAGGUAUGCAGGGGAGAACGGAAUUCCUGGUGUAGCGGUGAAAUGCGCAGAUAUCAGGAGGAACACCGGUGGCGAAGGCGGUUCUCUGGGCAUGAUCUGACGCUGAGGAGCGAAAGUGUGGGGAGCGAACAGG
rnacentral:rRNA from 1 species